rnacentral:rRNA from 1 species
CCUACGGGAGGCAGCAGUGAGGAAUAUUGGUCAAUGGGCGAGAGCCUGAACCAGCCAAGUCGCGUGAGGGAGUACUGCCCUAUGGGUUGUAAACCUCUUUUGUCGGGGAGCAAAAGCCGGACGUGUCCGGCUGUGAGAGUACCCGAAGAAAAAGCAUCGGCUAACUCCGUGCCAGCAGCCGCGGUAAUACGGAGGAUGCGAGCGUUAUCCGGAUUUAUUGGGGUUAAAGGGUGCGCAGGCGGAUUUUUAAGUCAGCGGUCAAAUCGUGGGGAUAAACCCCAUCCAGCCGUUGAAACUGGGGAUCUAGAGUGUGCGAGAGGUAUGCGGAAUGCGUGGUGUAGCGGUGAAAUGCAUAGAUAUCACGAAGAACACCGAUUGCGAAGGCAGCAUACCGGUGCACAACUGACGCUCAGGCACGAAAGCGUGGGUAUCGAACAGGAUUAGAUACCCCAGUAGUC